AGGAUAAACGCUGGCGGCGUGCCUAAAACAUGCAAGUCGGACGGGUUCAUGGCUUCGGUCGUGGAUCAGUGGCGGACGGCUGAGUAACACGUGGGUGACCUGCCUCCAUGCGGGGGACAACCGCCCGAAAGGGUGGCUAAUACCGCAGACGUCAUCCGUUCGCUCGGAUGACUGAACUUCGAUGAGAGGGUAUGGAGAGGGGCCCGCGGCCGAUUAGCUGGCUGGUGGGGUGACGGCCUACCAGGGCGACGAUCGGUAGCUGGUCUGAGAGGAUGAUCAGCCAGACUGGGACUGCGACACGGCCCAGACUCCUACGGGAGGCAGCAGUUAGGAAUUUUGGGCAAUGGGGGCAACCCUGACCAGCAACGCCGCGUGGUGACGAAGGCCUUCGGGGUCCGUAAACGGUCCCGUUUUCCCCGGGACCGAGU
rnacentral:rRNA from 1 species